AGUGAACGCUGGCGGCGUGCCUAAUACAUGCAAGUCGAACGGAGUGGCGCACGGGUGAGUAAUAUAUAGCUAAUCUGCCCCUUGCUGGAGGACAACAGUUAGAACUGUCUGCUAUUACUCCAUAUCAACGGAUGAGACUAUAUCGUAUCAGCUAGUCGGUGGGGUAAUGUCCUACCUAGGCUAUGACGCGUAACUGGUCUGAGAGGAUGAUCAGUCACAUUGGAACUGAGACACGGUCCAAACGCCUACGGGAGGCAGCAGUGGGGAAUAUUGCGCAAUGGGGGAAACCCUGACGCAGCAACGCCGCGUGGAGGAGGAAACUUUUCGGGGCGUAAACUCCUUUUGUUAGAGAAGCGUGAGUAACUGAACGACCCCUGACGGUAUCUAACCAGAAAGCCACGGCUAACUACGUGCCAGCCGCCGCGGUAAUUC
rnacentral:rRNA from 1 species